GAUUAUGUUCCUGUAACUUAUGUGAAUGAGGUGAACUGGUAUCAAGAGUUAAUGAGGUUUGCUCCAACGGCCUUGCUUUUAGGGACACUCUGGUUCAUGGGGCGAGGAAUGCAGAGUGGUCUUGGUGUUGGUGGUUCCGGUGGACGAGGGGGUCGUGGAAUAUUUAACAUGGGAAGGGCACAUUUCACGAAAAUGGAUAAGAAUGCCAAAGAUAAGGUAUUCUUUAAAGAUGUAGCUGGGUGUGAUGAGGCAAAGCAAGAAAUUAUGGAGUUUGUGCACUUCCU
rnacentral:misc_RNA from 1 species